rnacentral:tRNA from 1 species
GGGAAGUUGGCUCAGAGGUAGAGUGCUUGCCUCCCAUGCAUGAGGUCCUGAGUUGGAUUUCUUAGACCCA